UAAAGCAUCCGUAGCCGGUUCCGUAGGUCCUCUGUUAAAUCCACCCGCUCAACGGGUGACCUGCAGAGGAUACCGCGGGACUAGGAGGCGGGAGAGGCGGACGGUACUCCGCGUGUAGGGGUAAAAUCCUUUGAUCCGCGGAAGACCACCAGUGGCGAAGGCGGUCCGCCAGAACGCGCUCGACGGUGAGGGAUGAAAGCUGGGGGAGCGAACCGGAUUAGAUACCCGGGUAGUCCCAGCCGUAAACGAUGCUAGCUAGAUGAUUCAUUCGCAAGUCGCGAAUGAAGUGUCGCAGGGAAG
rnacentral:rRNA from 1 species